rnacentral:SRP_RNA from 1 species
GGGAAGUCACAAAUGGACGAAUACCUUGCGAACUCGGUCAGAUCCGGAAGGAAGCAGCCAUCGUGAGUAUCGUUCGGGUCAUUUGUGGCUUGCCACC